AGGGCCAUAUCACGUUGAAACAGCGGUUCCUGAACGAUCACCGAAGUUAAGCAACAUCGAGCCUGGUCAGUACCUAGAUGGGUGACUGCUUGUUAAUACCAGAUGUUGUAAG